rnacentral:rRNA from 1 species
CCUACGGGUGGCAGCAGUGGGGAAUAUUGCACAAUGGGCGCAAGCCUGAUGCAGCCAUGCCGCGUGUGUGAAGAAGGCCUUCGGGUUGUAAAGCACUUUCAGCGGGGAGGAAGGCGUUAAGGUUAAUAACCUUGUCGAUUGACGUUACCCGCAGAAGAAGCACCGGCUAACUCCGUGCCAGCAGCCGCGGUAAUACGGAGGGUGCAAGCGUUAAUCGGAAUUACUGGGCGUAAAGCGCACGCAGGCGGUCUGUCAAGUCGGAUGUGAAAUCCCCGGGCUCAACCUGGGAACUGCAUUCGAAACUGGCAGGCUAGAGUCUUGUAGAGGGGGGUAGAAUUCCAGGUGUAGCGGUGAAAUGCGUAGAGAUCUGGAGGAAUACCGGUGGCGAAGGCGGCCCCCUGGACAAAGACUGACGCUCAGGUGCGAAAGCGUGGGGAGCAAAUAGGAUUAGAUACCCCAGUAGUC